UUUUGUUCUUAUAAGCCAUGCUGCCCUGUACAACCCUCGACCAUGAAUCUUGGUUCAAGUCUAUGUCUUUCUAUAGGACAGAGUCCUAGAAAAGGGGGAAAAAAGGAAACAACUGGCCAGUUCCCUUUCUGGUCUGGAAAAAGAAUCCUUCUUGUGGUUGUCAUCUGUACUCUUCCUCCAUCAAAACUUUGCUCAAGAGAAUUGUAGAAGUGGAGAGAGACUUGGACAUCAUCAAUUCCUGACUCAAUUCCUUCAUGCAGUUUAAACCUUCUUUGCAAAGGGAUGCUGCCAUUUCUUCUAAUAAAGCCAGAUUUGAGGAGUUGACUACUUUGUAAAGCAAUGCAUCACAUAUUUGCAGCUGCAAUUGUGAGGAAAUACUUUAUACAAGUCUUUAAAUGAUCAGUUUUGCCCAAUAAAAAUUCAACAAUG